GGACGGGUGAGUAACGCGUAAAUAACUUGCCCCCUAGUCUGGGACAACUGUUGGAAACGACAGCUAAUACUAGAUAUUAUGAGACCUUGGCAUCAAGGACUUAUGAAAGCUAUAUGCGCUAGGGGAGAGAUUUGCGUCCUAUUAGCUAGUUGGUGAGGUAAUGGCUCACCAAGGCGACGAUAGGUAGCCGGCCUGAGAGGGUGAACGGCCACAAGGGGACUGAGACACGGCCCUUACUCCUACGGGAGGCAGCAGUGGGGAAUAUUGGACAAUGGACCAAAAGUCUGAUCCAGCAAUUCUGUGUGCUUGAUGAAGGCCUUCGGGUUGUAAAGAGCUUUAAGUAGGGAAGAAGAAAGUGACGGUACCUACAGAAUAAGCGACGGCUAAAUACGUGCCAGCAGCCGCGGUAAUACGUAUGUCGCAAGCGUUAUCCGGAAUUAUUGGGCAUAAAGGGCGUCUAGGCGGUUUAGAAAGUCUGAUGUGAAAAUGCGGGGCUCAACCCCGUAUUGCGUUGGAAACUACUAGACUAGAGUAUUGGAGAGGUAAGCGGGACUACAAGUGUAGAGGUGAAAUUCGUAGAUAUUUGUAAGAAUGCCAAUUGGGAAGCCAGCUUACUGGACAAAUACUGACGCUGAAGCGCGA
rnacentral:rRNA from 1 species